GGUCCCAUAGUUCAAUGGAUAUCCGCCCGGCCAAAGCCUUUCGGACGGGGAAUAGAAGUUUCCUAAACUUUUGAUGCAAGUUCGAUUCUUGCUGGGACUA
rnacentral:tRNA from 1 species